UAGCCUUCGAUGACCCUCGUCCUACCUUGUGUUCCCUUUCUCAUCCCAGUGAGAGGCUUUGGACAAAACCAGCCAACUGCAAGGGCGCACCUUGGAAAAGGUGGUCUUCCCCUGCGCUGCGUCACCACCCACAGUUCCCACAGCAACCGGGCUCUACCAGAAGUUCCCAGGAUGCAGAGGGCUCCUGAACAUCCCAGAUGCUCCAAACACCUUCAGAAACUUCAGAGGGGUCCCCAGGAUGUGGACUCUCUACCGUGGCUGUUCUGAGAUCACACGGAAAGCCUUCGCUUCCAAGGAGGGGGCUGCCCAGACCCUGUGCAUCUACGAAGAAGAGGUACUCCGGAGGUAGCUGAUAUUGAUGGGACUUCGAGUUACUCUCACAAGCUGAUCCGGUUCAAGGACAAUUUAGUUACCUACGUGCCUUCGAGUCAA